rnacentral:rRNA from 1 species
CCCCGGUAAACGGCGGCCGUAACUAUAACGGUCCUAAGGUAGCGAAAUUCCUUGUCGGGUAAGUUCCGACCUGCACGAAUGGCGUAAUGAUGGCCAGGCUGUCUCCACCCGAGACUCAGUGAAAUUGAACUCGCUGUGAAGAUGCAGUGUACCCGCGGCAAGACGGAAAGACCCCGUGAACCUUUACUAUAGCUUGACACUGAACAUUGAGCCUUGAUGUGUAGGAUAGGUGGGAGGCUUUGAAGUGUGGACGCCAGUCUGCAUGGAGCCGACCUUGAAAUACCACCCUUUAAUGUUUGAUGUUCUAACGUGGACCCGUAAUCCGGGUUGCGGACAGUGUCUGGUGGGUAGUUUGACUGGGGCGGUCUCCUCCUAAAGAGUAACGGAGGAGCACGAAGGUUGGCUAAUCCUGGUCGGACAUCAGGAGGUUAGUGCAAUGGCAUAAGCCAGCUUGACUGCGAGCGUGACGGCGCGAGCAGGUGCGAAAGCAGGUCAUAGUGAUCCGGUGGUUCUGAAUGGAAGGGCCAUCGCUCAACGGAUAAAAGGUACUCCGGGGAUAACAGGCUGAUACCGCCCAAGAGUUCAUAUCGACGGCGGUGUUUGGCACCUCGAUGUCGGCUCAUCACAUCCUGGGGCUGAAGUAGGUCCCAAGGGUAUGGCUGUUCGCCAUUUAAAGUGGUACGCGAGCUGGGUUUAGAACGUCGUGAGACAGUUCGGUCCCUAUCUGCCGUGGGCGCUGGAGAACUGAGGGGGGCUGCUCCUAGUACGAGAGGACCGGAGUGGACGCAUCACUGGUGUUCGGGUUGUCAUGCCAAUGGCACUGCCCGGUAGCUAAAUGCGGAAGAGAUAAGUGCUGAAAGCAUCUAAGCACGAAACUUGCCCCGAGAUGAGUUCUCCCUGAGACUUAGAGUCUCCUGAAGGAACGUUGAAGACGACGACGUUGAUAGGCCGGGUGUGUAAGCGCAGCGAUGCGUUGAGCUAACCGGUACUAAUGAACCGUGAGGCUUAACCUUAC